CCACCUGCAGCCACUUGUAAUUAGCGCGGUCUAUUUAAACUGGCAGUGCCCUGCCUUCUGUUUCGGUCUGCAACGCUGCUCAGUAGCUAACUCUGCUGCACAUUUCUGUUACUUUUGCUGCUAAUGCUAAUUGAUGUCUCAUAAAUAAGCUAACCUAUAAACUGUCCUUGUGGCUUAGAAUUAAUGUGGAGGAAUUAAAUGUGUUGGUGCUUCUUGACUACCAUGCAAUCACCUGUGACCUGAAUGCUCACCUCAAAACUGGAUUUACCGGUGCUGUUUGGAGCCCAUCUGUCUGAGAAACGUCUCAAAGAGACUUUCCAUCCCAUCCCAGACACUGAACGAGCUAGUGUAAGCCUCACUAAGUCACUCUCAGCUCCGCCGCCUCAGCUUGUAUAAAGAUCUUCUCCAGGACAACUAUGCAGCGUUUUGAUUUACGACACAGGAAAGGCCAGGAUUGACAACCCGAUAAUGCCGACUCAGAUUCUUGGAUUGCCGUUGCCAUUCAUAAGAGGCCAGCAGACCAAGACUAAAUGAGACCAGGAUGGAAAUGUCCCCUGCGUGCACAACCUUUUACGAGAGGGUCAUUCUCAGAACUGUGAACUCUAUCUCACAGCCUCUGACCACCACCAUUGCUGGCUUAUGGAAGAAUCCCACUAGCAAUACCAACCUUCCCCCCACCGCACUGUAAAUCAAACGGCUAUCUAAAGCAGCGGGACUCAUCCUUACAGCACUGGACAGUGACAUAUGGGAAAUCCCCAGUGUUGUAAUAUACCACUGGCGAUCCAACCAGACCAUAAAGGUCACAGUCCACACUGUGCAGACCGUGUUUGGCUUUUUGUUACAUGGUGUUCAGGCAAGGAGGAAGCCGAGCACCAAGCCCCCUCAAGCAAAUGAAGCCUUGUUGACAGAGUUUAAAUAAUUGAAAACUAAUCUGCUCUGUAAAUGAAUGUUGGGUUUAAGAAGGAAUAAACCCAAGUACAUCAGAAAUCCUGCUUCUGGUCAUGCCUCUGAAAUUGUUUAACCUGUGAAUGAAGUGUGUUUAGAGCCCAUAAUCCAAGAUGAAUCAAAGUAAUAACUGGUCUUUGCUACAAGAGAAUAAAAAGCUUUUGGGCUCAUCUGUAUUAGGUGUGUAUUAUAUAGAGGUUUAAGCAUUUACACGUUGCAUUCAGAGGUUCACAUUGUAAAAUUUAUGGGCAAAUUGUCUGAUACACAAACUGUGUUCUCAAAGAAAAGAAACCUAUUUACUCUUUAUCUCUUAUCUUUUGUGCUGGGAUGGUGCUUUGGUGUUCAUGGCAUCACUUUUCACUCUGUUUUGGCUAUACUGUACAUAGGCUGAUUU